rnacentral:rRNA from 1 species
AUGCAAAUUUUUGUGUGAAUUUUUAUUUAUUUUAAAAGUAAAUAAUUUUCUAAUAUUCGCAGUAAUUGAUAUUAUUAAUUAAGGAAACUUAGAAAUAGAUAUAUUAAUUAGUAUUGACUAAAUUUGUGCCAGCAGUCGCGGUUAGACGAAUAAUGCAAAUAAAUUUUAUUAGUAAAAGUUAAAUAAUUUUAGUUAUAAAUGUAUAAUAAAUUUAUUAAGUGAAAUUUUAAAUUUAUGUAAGUUUUAUUAGAAAAUUAAUUGAAGCUUAGAAAUUUUAAUUAAAAACUAGGAUUAGAUACCCUAUUAUUUAAAAUGUAGCUAUUUGCUUAGGUAGUAUUAGAUAUGUUCUUGAAACUUAAAAAAUUUGGCGGUAUUUUAGUCUAUUCAGAGGAACCUGUUCUAUAAUCGAUAAUCCACGAUGGACCUUACUUAAUUAUGUUUUACAGUUUAUAUACCGUCGUUAUUAGAAUAUUUUAUAAGAAUAAUAAUUUUCUAAAAUUUUUAUUAAAAUUUAUAUCAGAUCAAGGUGUAGCUUAUGGUUAAGAAGAAAUGGGUUACAAUAAAUUUAUUUAUAUGGAUGUAAGUAUGAAAAACUUAUUGAAAGUGGAUUUGGUAGUAAAAUUAUAAAGAUUAAUAAUUUGACUUUAGCUCUAAGAUAUGUACACAUCGCCCGUCACUCUUAUUAUUAAGAUAAGAUAAGUCGUAACAUAGUAGAUGUA